GCCCGUUCACACGAACCUUAUGCAAUCGCUUUGUUGAAUCCAACUCUCACCCAGGCAUCUGUGAAACAUGCACCCAUUUGCUGUUGGGCCUGCACAAGCCCUCAUGUAUUCAAAUAGCAGCUGUCCACUUAAAACCAACACCCAGGCAUAGCUUCCACAAUAAAUUCUUCUUUAAAAUCUAUGGGAUCCACCUCAUUUAAUUCUCUUCU
rnacentral:lncRNA from 1 species